rnacentral:rRNA from 1 species
AGCGAACGCUGGCGGCAGGCCUAACACAUGCAAGUCGAACGAACAUUCCGGGGUUAGUGGGGGACGGGGGAGGAAGAAGUGGGAACGAGCCCUUAGGUAAGGAAUAACUCAGGGAAACAUGUGCUAAUAAAGAAUGGGCUCUUCGGGGGAAAGAUUAGUCGCCUUUAGAGGGGCCGGGGACUGAUUAGCUAGUUGGUUGAGGAAAUGGCUCACCAAGGCGACGUUCAGUAGCUGGUCUGAGAGAAUGAUUUGCCACAUAGGGACUGAGACACGGCCCAAACUCCUACGCGAGGCAGCAGUGGGUAAUCUUGCGCAAGGAACGAAGGCCUGACGCCGCCAUGCCGCGUAAAUGAUGAUGGUCGUAGUAUUCUAAUUUUCUUUCACCGGAGGCGUUAAUGACGGUACCCGGUAAAGAAGCCCCGGCUAACUUCGUG